ACUAAGUUUCAACAACGGAUCUCUUGGCUCUCGCUUCGAUGAAGAACGCAGCGAAAUGCGAUAAGUAAUGUGAAUUGCAGAAUUCAGUGAAUCAUCGAAUCUUUGAACGCACCUUGCGCUCCUUGGUAUUCCUUGGAGCAUGCCUGUUUGAGUAUCAUGAAAU
rnacentral:rRNA from 1 species